rnacentral:lncRNA from 1 species
CUGAUUCUGUCUUUAGGAAUAAUUAAUUUUGUAUAUUUGGGAAAAGCUGUAGCACUCUGUAUCACAAGUUAAGAUUCAAAUUGCUGUACACCCUUAAGAUACUACAAACCUCUGGAAUUUUGCCACCAUCUCUCUUCAGAGCUCACUUGCACCAAAACUGACAUGAAGUAUGCACGUGUUCAGCAGCUUCAGUGCAAAGUCCAGUAGUUUUAGGUUAGACUGUUUGCAGAGACAUUGUUGACUUUCUGGGAGCUGGUUGAUCCUGUCAUGAAGAAGCAAGAGAGGGUUGAUCUGCAAAGGAUGGGAGCAAGGAGUCAGACUGGCAAAGCAGUGCCUUCACCAACGCAGAUUCAAGCCCAGAGUGCUCCAACCAGAAUGGACCAGGUCCAGAGAGCAUAACCAGGGCAGUCAGGAUCCCAGCUUCUUACAGCCCUGGCAUUUAUUCUGCAUCUGUUGAUAUCAUCAUCCUGUAAUACUUCGAAGAAGGAAGCUCCAUUUCCAAGUCCAGGGAAGAGUGAUUACGAAUUCAGUGUGCCAGCAGAGAAAUUCAGGCAGAGGUCAAGUAUCCUGUAUCCUAUUAAUGUGUGGGACUGCUAUAAGUCAUCCAGAUUUUUUAAGUCAUCUUGGUUCAUCUUCAGGAGAACUUUCAGACACAUCUGGUUUUAGGUUUAAAUUUUAAAAAGACAACUUCCAAAAAAAAAAAAAAAAACCACACCUUUUUUAUAAAUCACACACUGUAACAACCAGAUUUGAGGGAAAAUAUAUUUGUUCCAGAAGCAACUGGUCUAGUGAAAUUCUGUCCACAAUGAAAUGAGCUGCAAAUCUCCAGGUAUCUUCAUAGGAGUGAAAGUUUUACCAGAUUACGAAAAGCUAGUUUAGGAGCUGGAAGAAAGAUCAUUCAAACCUGGCAAUCCCUGAGAAACUACUCUUUCAAACCCAGUGGCAAAACUGAUUAUGAUGGGAUCAAGACAUCAAAUUUGGUCCAUAUGAUAGUUUAUUUAAAAAUAAAUAAAUAAAUAAAUAAAUAAAUAAAUUAUAC